rnacentral:misc_RNA from 1 species
GAUGAAGAACGUAGCGAAAUGCGAUAAGUAAUGUGAAUUGCAGAAUUCAGUGAAUCAUCGAAUCUUUGAACGCACAUUGCGCCCGCCAGUAUUCUGGCGGGCAUGCCUGUUCGAGCGUCAUUUCAACCAUCAAGCCCCAGGCUUGUGUUGGGGACCUGCGGCUGCCGCAGGCCCUGAAAACCAGUGGCGGGCUCGCUGUCACACCGGGCGUAGUAGAUUUUAUCUCGCUCAGGGCGUGCUGCGGGUUCCGGCCGUUAAAAAGCCUUUUUUACCCAAGGUUGACCUCGGAUCAGGUAGGAAGACCCGCUGAACUUACGCAUAUCAAUAAGCGGAGGA